rnacentral:misc_RNA from 1 species
GAAAUGCGAUAAGUAGUGUGAAUUGCAGAAUUCAGUGAAUCAUCGAAUCUUUGAACGCACAUUGCGCCCCUUGGUAUUCCUUAGGGCAUGCCUGUUCGAGCGUCAUUUGUAACCUCAAGCUCAGCUUGGUGUUGGGUGUCUGUCCCCGCCCCGCGCGGGGACUCGCCUCAAAAACAUUGGCGGCCGGUACGUUGGCUUCGAGCGCAGCAGAAACGCGAACUCGAGGCCCGACGGAUCGGCGACCAGAAGUCACUUCUUCCACAGCUUGACCUCGGAUCAGGUAGGGAUACCCACUGAACUUAAGC